UACGAAGGGGGCUAGCGUUGUUCGGAUUUACUGGGCGUAAAGCGCACGUAGGCGGGUCGUUAAGUCAGGGGUGAAAUCCCAGAGCUCAACUCCGGAACUGCCUUUGAUACUGGCGACCUUGAGGCUGGAAGAGGUUAGUGGAAUUCCCAGUGUAGAGGUGAAAUUCGUAGAUAUUGGGAAGAACACCAGUGGCGAAGGCGGCUAACUGGUCCAGAUCUGACGCUGAGGUGCGAAAGCGUGGGGAGCAAACAGG
rnacentral:rRNA from 1 species